CGCAUCUGUGCAUGCAGCAUAUCAAUAAGCGGAGGAAAAGAAACUGAACAAGGAUUCCCUUAGUAACGGCGAGUGAAGCGGGAAGAGCUCAAAUUUGAAAUCUUCAAGGUUUUACCUUGACGAAUUGUAGUUUAAAGAAGUGUUUUCUGUUGAAGUUUUGGUAAAAGUUCUUUGGAAUAGGACAUCAUAGAGGGUGAGAAUCCCGUAUUUGACCAUUAUUUUCAGCUGUGUGAUACACUUUCAAAGAGUCGGAUUGUUUGGGAAUGCAGUCCAAAAUGGGUGGUAAAUUUCAUCUAAAGCUAAAUAUUGGCGAGAGACCGAUAGCGAACAAGUACCGUGAGGGAAAGAUGAAAAGAACUUUGAAAAGAGAGUUAAACAGUACGUGAAAUUGUCAAAAGGGAAGCGUUUGACACCAGUGUUGUUUUCUCGAAAAUCAAUUAAAAAGAGUUUAGAUUUUGUUGUGUAUUGACCUUAACAGCUUGCAUUUCAGUUUUCUUGCUUUUUUUAAUGCACUUUUCGUUUAACAAGUCAACAUCAGUUUCUUUUGUUGUAAAAAGGUCAUUGGAAGGUGGCUUUCUUUUCGGAGAAAGUGUUUAUAGCCUUUGACUCCUGCAAUCGGAGAGACUGAGGUCUGCAGCGUAGAUCCUUCGGGGUUAGAUACAUUUGUGCUAAGUUAUAGCUUUUUAUAGACAACUUGUUGACUAUGAUUAGUCUUGUAGCUUACUCGCUUAUGCUAUUUUACCUACGCUUAGGAUGUUGACGCGCGUGUGUGCGUG
rnacentral:rRNA from 1 species